CCUCUUCCAGUAGAUAUUUUCUUUCCCCAAAUGUUACACCAUACAAACAGGAAUAAGAAACAUUCAGAUCAUUUUUGGUCAGAUUUUGAAUAAUUAAGGUGUAUCCAUCCUUUAAAACCUUCCCAUCAUAUUUUUUAUUAGGUCGUCCUGUUUUGACAUCUAUAAACAGUGUCUGUUGAUGUGGUGUCCACCUAUCCCAGCCAGCAUCGUCAGGACAGCAGUUUGGAACAUUGCAAAAUAAAGUCACAUUUUGUCCAUAUUCUGUAACUUUUCCAACAACUGUCCAUU
rnacentral:lncRNA from 1 species